rnacentral:rRNA from 1 species
GAUGAACGCUGGCGGCGUGCCUAAUACAUGCAAGUCGAGCGAACAGAUCAGGAGCUUGCUCCUCUGACGUUGUCGGCGGACGGGAGAGUAACACGUGGAUAACCUACCUAUAAGACUGGGAUAACUUUGGGAAACCGGAGCUAAUACCGGAUAAUAUAUUGAACCGCAUUGUUCAAUAGUUAAAGACGGUUUUGCUGUCACUUAUAGAUGACUACGGGCCGAAUUAGUUAGUUGGUAAGGUAACGGCUUACCAAGGCAAGGAUGGUUACCCGACCUGAAAGGGAGGAUGGCCACACGGGAUGUGAGGAACAGCAGAGACUCCUGCAGGAAGAAGCAGUAGGGAAUCUUCCGCAAGGGGGGAAUGCCUGACGGUGCAACGCCGCGGGAGGGAUGAAGGUGCUCGGAUCGGAAAACUAUGUUAGUAGGGAAGAACAAAUGUGUAAGUAACUAUGCACGUCUUGACGGUACCUAAUCAGAAAGCCACGGCUAACUCCGUG